rnacentral:rRNA from 1 species
GAUGAACGCUAGCUACAGGCUUAACACAUGCAAGUCGAGGGGAAACGACAUCGAAAGCUUGCUUUUGAUGGGCGUCGACCGGCGCACGGGUGAGUAACGCGUAUCCAACCUGCCCACCACUUGGGGGAUAACCUUGCGAAAGUAAGACUAAUACCCGAUGAUAUCCCUAGAAGACAUCUGAAAGGGAUUAAAGAUUUAUCGGUGAUGGAUGGGGAUGCGUCUGAUUAGCUUGUUGGCGGGGUAACGGCCCACCAAGGCAACGAUCAGUAGGGGUUCUGAGAGGAAGGUCCCCCACAUUGGGACUGAGAUACGGCCCAGACUCCUACGGGAGGCAGCAGUGGGGAAUAUUGCACAAAGGGGGGAACCCUGAUGCAGCGACGCCGCGUGGAGGAAGAAGGUCUUCGGAUUGUAAACUCCUGUUGUUAGGGACGAUAAUGACGGUACCUAACAAGGAAGCACCGGCUAACUACGUG